rnacentral:rRNA from 1 species
AACGCGAAGAACCUUACCUGGGCUUGAACCGCACAGGACCAGCUUGAGAAAUCAGGCCUUCCCGCAAGGGACCUGUGUAGAGGUGCUGCAUGGCUGUCGUCAGCUCGUGCCGUGAGGUGUUGGGUUAAGUCCCGCAACGAGCGCAACCCUUACUCAUAGUUGCUACCCGCAAGGGAGAACUCUAAGAGGACUGCUCCGGAUAACGGAGAGGAAGGUGGGGAUGACGUCAAGUCAGCACGGCCUUUAUGUCCAGGGCUACACACGUGUUACAAUGCAUGGUACAAACCGUCGCGAACCUGCGAAGGGGAGCUAAUCGGAAAAAACCAUGCUCAGUUCGGAUUGCAGUCUGCAACUCGACUGCAUGAAGCCGGAAUCGCUAGUAAUGGCGUAUCAGAACGACGCCGUGAAUACGUUCCCGGGCCUUGUACACACCGUGUCGA